AAUUCUCUGUGUAGAAACCUUUUUCUUCAGUAUCCACUCGAAAGCCAAAAUCCAAAGAACGACCGUCUUCUGAGGUGACUGAGGAACAGAAAAGAUAACAUCAAUUAUACUCUGGUAAAGUCAAACCUUAAGCUGUUUCAAGUGGGAAGACUCAAGAACUACCACUUCAUAACCAAAAUACGACUUCAAGAAAAGCAUAAAAGCAACUGGAUGGGGGAGUCUGGUCAAGAUUCAGUAAACUGUUGCCUUUGCUGAGGACAAGGAGCUGACUACUCACUGGAUCCUUCAGUGAUGUUGCUGGUGAAUGAGCUCCC